rnacentral:rRNA from 1 species
UACGAAGGGGGCUAGCGUUGCUCGGAAUGACUGGGCGUAAAGGGCGCGUAGGCGGAUGGCACAGUCAGAUGUGAAAUUCCCGGGCUUAACCUGGGGGGCUGCAUUUGAUACGUGUGAUCUAGAGUGAGGAAGAGGGUCGUGGAAUUCCCAGUGUAGAGGUGAAAUUCGUAGAUAUUGGGAAGAACACCGGUGGCGAAGGCGGCGAGCCUGGUCCUUGACUGACGCUGAGGCGCGAAAGCGUGGGGAGCAAACAGG